rnacentral:rRNA from 1 species
UACGUAGGGACCAGCAGUGUCGGAUCGAUUGGUGCGUAAAGAGCUCGUAGGCGGUUUGUCGCGUCUGCUGUGAAAACCUAAGGCUCAACCUUGGGCUUGCAGUGGGUACGGGCAGACUAGAGUGCGGUAGGGGUGACUGGAAUUCCUGGUGUAGCGGUGGAAUGCGUAGAUAUCAGGAGGAACACCUGCGGUGUAGACGGCUUACUGGACCAUCACUGACGCUGAGGCACGAAAGCGUGGGUAGCAAACAGG